AUGUUCCCACAAUGUCACUUGAGAGGCAUCUCCUCCUCUGGCUCCGAUCACUCUGCCAUGGUGCUCUCUGGCCCAUUGCUGCAUGGUGAUGCCAUGUGGAUGCUCCACCAGAAACUUGUUCGUCUGGGCAAAGCUUUGUGGGUAUGGAGCAGAACAAAGGUGGGCAACAUUGCUCUGUUCACUGCGGUGUCCGAGCAGCUUAUCCUGGGCCUGGACUAUGCCCAAGAUCACUGUGACCUCACUAUUGCAGAAUUAAGUCUGAGGAUCUUCCUUCAGAACAAGUUGUUGGACCUUGCUGCAAUUCACAGGGUCAGGAUCAGGCAGUGUUCUCGGCUGCUAUGGGUGCGCCCUGGAGAGGUCAACGCAAAACUUUUCCACAUCAAGGCCAAUGGUCGCCGAUGA
rnacentral:rRNA from 1 species